rnacentral:misc_RNA from 1 species
UUCAAGCCGCCUGAGCCCAAG